rnacentral:lncRNA from 1 species
AACCUACUUAACACUAAUUUUUUUUCAUUCUGUUUUUCUAACCAAUUUUUGAAAUUUCAGUAAAUUUUAUUACUACUUUCCAAUAUGUCUCUCUUCUUUUGAAAUAUUAUGUAAAGGACUUACAAAGCCUCUCAAAUGAUUGCCUUUUUUUCAGAAAUGCCAUUCUAUUACAUUCUAUGUCUAGACUCUUCAACACUCUAUAUUUUAUUCACUAAAUAUAUAUCCAUUAAUAGAGUUUUUAU